AAAGUCUGCACAGAAGAAAGGCUCUGUAAAUAUGAACAAGAUAUGAAAUGUGUCAGUUAGAAUUCAAGUCUUCAAACCCAUCAAAGACUCCAUACUGGGGAGAAAACAUACAAAUGUAAGCUGUGUGGAAAAGACUUCACUUGGAGAUCACACCUUCAAGCUCAUCAUAGAGUCCACAUAGGAGAGAAACUGUAUAAAUAUGAUACAUGUGGGAAGGGUUUCUAUUGGAGUCAGGGAUUCUAAUUCAUCAGAGUUCAUAGUGGUGAUAAAUUCCAUGAAAGUGAAGAGUCUGGUAAG
rnacentral:lncRNA from 1 species